UCCCAUCCUUGCUCUGAGCACUUCUUCCUAGGUUGACUACCCCCUAGUUGAAAGCUGCCAAUUUCUUAGAUCUUCCACCAAUCAUGUCAAAACAACUCAGCUUAACUUAAAAAUUAUGUUAGCUUGUUUCCUCUUAGAUGAUUCUAAUAGUACUAGACAUGCAGUUAUGAUAGGAGAUCUGAGGGGGCAUAUAAUGUUCAAAAUACCCAUCCAAAGGGGGACGGGCAGCUUGCAGUGGAAGCAAACAAAACCAACAGGUACAGCGAAGAAGUAACAAGGAAGUACAAUGAUUUUGAGUUUUCCUCAAUAUGAAAAUGCAUCCUCAUAUUCUGCAUGAAGCCAGACAACCGUGUGGCUGAAGGUGGUGAACACAUCCAUUCCAAGAGUGUUUCAUGCAGUUUUUGAAGCAGAUUUCUUAGAGAUGAAGAUGAUGCUGGUUUCUUGGGGACACAACCAGCCCGUGGCGGUCCACCCAAGGGUCCCACUGCAGCCCAACGAAUACCACUAGGUGUCAGCGCAGUGCCAUGGAUUGCAAAUACAUUAAAUGACGCAGCGACCACUGUGUAAUUAGCAAAAAUAGUUUAAAAUGUGUUUCUCUUUCCUUUCUAAUGCUUUUAAACCAGUUUAGUAUUUUUGGGUUUUUUCCCCUUUUAUUCCCUUUUUAAUUUUCAGAAUUUGGUAGUCAAACAACCUGGCAACCAUGACACUUUAUGCUAGCUAUGAUGUCAGAGCAAAUGCCAUGUUAACACAGCUCAGUCUUUUCUUUUACUCAAACUGAAUUUUAUUCCAUAAAACUUUCAGCAUCAAGCACGAAGCAGAAGAGUUAAUCAGAGACGACAAUCCUACUUGAACAUAUUUCCUGAAAAAUAUAGGUAUA